rnacentral:rRNA from 1 species
CAAGUCGAACGCACAGCGAAAGGUGCUUGCACCUUUCAAGUGAGUGGCGAACGGGUGAGUAACACGUGGACAACCUGCCUCAAGGCUGGGGAUAACAUUUGGAAACAGAUGCUAAUACCGAAUAAAACUUAGUGUCGCAUGACAAAAAGUUAAAAGGCGCUUCGGCGUCACCUAGAGAUGGAUCCGCGGUGCAUUAGUUAGUUGGUGGGGUAAAGGCCUACCAAGACAAUGAUGCAUAGCCGAGUUGAGAGACUGAUCGGCCACAUUGGGACUGAGACACGGCCCAAACUCCUACGGGAGGCUGCAGUAGGGAAUCUUCCACAAUGGGCGAAAGCCUGAUGGAGCAACGCCGCGUGUGUGAUGAAGGCUUUCGGGUCGUAAAGCACUGUUGUAUGGGAAGAACAGCUAGAAUAGGAAAUGAUUUUAGUUUGACGGUACCAUACCAGAAAGGGACGGCUAAAUACGUGCCAGCAGCCGCGGUAAUACGUAUGUCCCGAGCGUUAUCCGGAUUUAUUGGGCGUAAAGCGAGCGCAGACGGUUUAUUAAGUCUGAUGUGAAAGCCCGGAGCUCAACUCCGGAAUGGCAUUGGAAACUGGUUAACUUGAGUGCAGUAGAGGUAAGUGGAACUCCAUGUGUAGCGGUGGAAUGCGUAGAUAUAUGGAAGAACACCAGUGGCGAAGGCGGCUUACUGGACUGCAACUGACGUUGAGGCUCGAAAGUGUGGGUAGCAAACAGGAUUAGAUACCCUGGUAGUCCACACCGUAAACGAUGAACACUAGGUGUUAGGAGGUUUCCGCCUCUUAGUGCCGAAGCUAACGCAUUAAGUGUUCCGCCUGGGGAGUACGACCGCAAGGUUGAAACUCAAAGGAAUUGACGGGGACCCGCACAAGCGGUGGAGCAUGUGGUUUAAUUCGAAGCAACGCGAAGAACCUUACCAGGUCUUGACAUCCUUUGAAGCUUUUAGAGAUAGAAGUGUUCUCUUCGGAGACAAAGUGACAGGUGGUGCAUGGUCGUCGUCAGCUCGUGUCGUGAGAUGUUGGGUUAAGUCCCGCAACGAGCGCAACCCUUAUUGUUAGUUGCCAGCAUUCAGAUGG